CACACACACACACACACACGGAGCUGCAGCCGAGCUGCUAGAUAGAAGGGGAUAGAUUGAGGGCGACUCUCUGGGGGCAGACUUUAGCCGACUGGCGAAAUGCGUGUUACUAGUCCUCACAAACAAAAUCAUGGCAGGGCUCAAUAUGGAUGGUGGCAAUGGCAAGGGUGCCUUUAGAGGAAUGACCCUUUGCAAGGUCAUGAUUGAAGCCAUUCUGAGGACACAGCCUGGGGCAACUGAGGCAGCUGUUGUGUCCCGAAUUGGGGCAUACCUUAGAUCGGCACCUGACAGGAAAGGUGGUGGUGGACAAAAGACUGCUGACACUAAUGCAGCUGUUAGUGCCUGUUAAUGUUGAAAACAUCUGUUGAUGUUGGAAAGAGUUUUGUACUCUAAAUAGAAAAUAAAAAUUGUUCUUAUUUUGUUCAUACAUGUAUGCUUGAUCAUUGAGAGAUAUUCCCAGGUGGAAACUGCUGUAGCAAAAGCAAAUGAAGGACUGUCACUCAAUAUAGACAAGGUUAUGUGCAUGUAAUACUGCAAAACUGCAAGGGUCUCGUCUUGUAUUGCUUUGUAUUAGAAUCACAGGAGCUUCAUCAUCUUUAAAUCCUGACAGAGAUCUUUUAGUCAGUUUCGUGAGACUAAGAGUAAGACAAUUCUUUCAAUACUAGAUUGAAAUUGAAAUUAUGUCAAAAUAACAUCAGUAUCAUAUGGCCGAAAGUUUAAAGAAUCGCAUUGAAACAACGUCAAAAUUACAUCAAUAUCAAUAUUUGACUGAAAGAUAAAGGAAUCUUAACAUUGAAGCAAUAUCAAAAUAACAUUAAUUUGGUCAUUAUUUGGCUGAAAUUUGACAUCAAUCAAAUUCAUGUCAAAGUUUGACAUCAUGUUGAUUUACGUUUUUGACCAAAUCAGAAUGUAAUUUUGACAUCAAUGAAUGACAUCAACUUGAUGUUGCAUUGACAUCAGAUGCCCACUGGGAAGGUAACUCUGACUUUCUAGUGCAGGGGUCACCAACUAUAUUUGCCAGAGGGCCAGAAUUUUACCGGACAGUCACUUUGGGGGCCGGACCCUCAAACAAAAAUUAAAUAAAAAUCGAAUUUUGGCAUAACAUUAUUAUUUGCUGUUUAAUUUUUAUAUUUUUUCCAUUUCAUUACAAAACUGAAGGCAUUUUUAGCCUUUAUGAGUCAGUGCUCCUAUCACCUGUACCACAGUCAACCACUAGGAGUGAUAGAGAUAUUUUGCCUCAUCUCAAGUCAACUUUAUUCACAGAACACUUGAAAAAGAAGCACCGCAGAAGUGACAGGAAAGGGCCUCUUAACACGGGUAAAAUGGCACUCUCUAAGGCCACGAAACGAAAAGUUGAUGUGGAAAACAGAUCCUUUAAUAAUGACUGGACUGACUGCUUUAAUAGUGUGGACCACAUGAUAUUGUAUAACGUACACAUGCAGAACGCACACCUGUGCUCAGUGCAAGGUCAUUUUGUUUGUGGGUUCAUCUAUAUUAAAUGGUCACAUUCUAUGCUGUCAUGAUUUCUGCCACAAAUUUUUUCAAGUCUCAGCUGUGACAAAUCAUACAACGACUGAGCAGCCUUGGCAGAGUGCUGUACUCUCUGAAUGCUUUUCAUAUCAAAGUUUUAAAUCUAAAUCUGGAGAUCUUGUAUUGUCUGUACAAAAAAAAAAAAAUAGAAACCUGACCAGAUGCUCAGAGUACACAGGAAAAGAAUUUGUAAUUUUAACCGUGUAAAACUGUCAAACCAUGAUGUAAAAAUUUGUAAACUCUGAAACAGUUUGACACCUUUUAUAUGACAUGAAAUCACCAUAAACGUGUUAAUCAAGAGAAAAAAUGUUAAACAUUUCUCUACUGGGGAGUGUGAUUGUCUGUCUGUAUAUGUACCUUUGUGACAGACUGGUGACCUGUCCAGGGUGUCCCCUGCCUUUGCCUGAGUCAGCUGGGAUAGACUCCAGCACCCCCCAUGACCCUAGUGAGGAUAAAGCGGUGUAUAGAGAAUGGAUGGAUGGAUUUCUCUACUGUGUAUAACAUCAAUACUGUAAUAUUUGCAUUUAUUUCUUUGAAAUAAUACAUUUUUUCACUGCUAAAUGUAUAUAUUGUUGUGCUAAUAAUGAAAACAUGCUGUAAUAUUAAUAAAAAAGACACUUUUGCAUUGA